CCAAUCGAACCCGGAGAUAGCUGGUUCUCCCCGAAAUAGCUUUAGGGCUAGCGUUGCGAUAGAUUACCGAAGGUAGAGCACUGAAUAGGCUAGGGGGCGAUGAGCUUACUGAACCUUAUCAAACUUCGAAUGUCGGAUAAUUGUUUCGCGGCAGUCAGACAGUGUGAGAUAAAUUUCAUUGUCAAAAGGGAAACAGCCCAGACCCACAGCUAAGGUCCCAAAUAUAUGCUAAGUGGAAAACGAUGUGGAUUUGCAAAAACAACCAGGAUGUUGGCUUAGAGGCAGCCACUCAUUAAAAGAGUGCGUAAUAGCUCACUGGUCGAGUGACCCUGCGCGGAAAAUAUAACGGGGCUAAGCGUCCAACCGAAGCUUGGGAUGUCUAAGGACAUGGUAGGGGAGCGUCGUGUAUAGGGAGAAGCAUGAGCGAGAGCACAUGUGGACAGUACACGAGUGAGAAUGCCGGAAUGAGUAGCGAGAAUUAUGUGGGAAUCAUAAUGGCCGAAAAUCUAAGGUUUCCUGGGCAAGGUUCGUCCUCCCAGGGUAAGUCGGGAGCUAAGGCGAGGCCGAGAGGCGUAGUCGAUGCACAUACGGUUGAAAUUCCGUAACCACCGAAAGAUUUAAACACAGGGACACAUAGAGAUAGCGGGACCCCGGCGUUGGUUGACCGGGGCGUAAGGGACCGAACAUCAGUAGGGAAGUCCGCGAUGCUCUGUGGCGAGAAAAGCUGUGUGUAUAUCUUAGGUGCCCGUACCGCAAACCGACACAGGUAGAUGAGGAGAGAAUCCUAAGGCCAACGGGAGAAGGGUUGUUAAGGAACUCGGCAAAUUGACCCCGUAACUUCGGGAUAAGGGGAGCCUCCUACGGGAGGCCGCAGUGAAUAGGCCCAAGCAACUGUUUACCAAAAACACAGGUCUCUGCUAAAUCGAAAGAUGACGUAUAGGGGCUGACGCCUGCCCGGUGCCGGAAGGUUAAGAGGAGAGCUUAGCGCAAGCGAAGGUUUGAAUUGAAGCCCCGGUAAACGGCGGCCGUAACUAUAACGGUCCUAAGGUAGCGAAAUUCCUUGUCAGGUAAGUUCUGACCCGCACGAAUGGCGUAAUGAUUUGGGCACUGUCUCAACAGCCCGCCCGGCGAAAUUGUAGUACUGGUGAAGAUGCCAGUUACCCGCAACUAGACGGAAAGACCCCAUGGAGCUUUACUGCAGCUUAAUACUGAGGAUUGGUAAUGCAUGUACAGGAUAGGUGGGAGCCUGGGAAACUCUGGCGUCAGCUGGAGCGGAGGCGCCCUUGGAAUACCACCCUUGUGUUACUGGUUUUCUAACCUGCGGCCGUGAAUCCGGUCGGGGGACACUGUUAGGCGGGCAGUUUGACUGGGGCGGUCGCCUCCAAAAGAGUAACGGAGGCGCUCAAAGGUUGGCUCAGCACGGACGGAAAUCGUGCAUAGAGUGCAAACGCAUAAGCCAAGUUGACUGCGAGACCGACGGGUCGAGCAGGUACGAAAGUAGGAGUUAGUGAUCCGGUGGUAUGUGAGUGGAAAUGCCAUCGCUCAACGGAUAAAAGCUACCCUGGGGAUAACAGGCUGAUCUCCCCCAAGCGUCCACAGCGACGGGGAGGUUUGGCACCUCGAUGUCGGCUCGUCACAUCCUGGGGCUGAAUUCGGUCCCAAGGGUUCGGCUGUUCGCCGAUUAAAGUGGCACGCGAGCUGGGUUCAGAACGUCGUGAGACAGUUCGGUCCCUAUCUGUUGCGGGCGCAGGAGAUUUGAUGGGAGCUGUCCUUAGUACGAGAGGACCGGGAUGGACAGACCUCUGGUGCACCAGUUGUCGUGCCAACGGCACAGCUGGGUAGCUACGUCUGGACGAGAUAAACGCUGAAAGCAUCUAAGCGUGAAACUCCCCCAAAGAUAAGAUCUCCCCCCUUUAUGGGGUAAGGGUCGAUGUAGACUACAUCGUUGAUAGGCCGAAGGUGUAAGCACGGUAACGUGUUCAGCUGAUCGGUACUAAUCACCCGAGGGCUUGACUU
rnacentral:rRNA from 1 species